rnacentral:rRNA from 1 species
UAUGGCAAAUGUGAGAUGCAGUGUAUGGAAUGUCAAAUUUCUAGUAUGAGAAAUUAACGAUUUAAGUCCUUCUUAAAUGAGGCCAUUUACCCAUAGAGGGUGCCAGGCCCGUAUAACGUUAAUGAUUACUAGAUGGCAUUUCCAAAGAGUCGUGUUGCUUGAUAGUGCAGCACUAAGUGGGUGGUAAACUCCAUCUAAAACUAAAUAUAACCAUGAGACCGAUAGUAAACAAGUACCGUGAGGGAAAGUUGAAAAGAACUCUGAAUAGAGAGUUAAAUAGUACGUGAAACUGCUUAGAGGUUAAGCCCGAUGAACCUGAAUAUCCAUUAUAGAAAAUUCAUCAUUAUGAUUUUUAAUAUUAAUAAUAUUAUAAUAAUAGUGUGCAUUUUUUCUAUAACGGACAUUGUAAUCUAUUAACAUAAAUUUAUCAUAAGAUCAAUGAUUGUUUUGUUUAUUCGAAUUAUUUUGCUUGCAAUUUAACAUAGAAUAAAAGGCUGUUGAUUGGAUAAAGUGUUGAUAGAUUUAUUGUAUAUAGUGCUUAAAUAUUUAUAUUUUAUAAUAGCAUAUUAAUCAUUGAUUUUUAUGUUUAUUAUAUGCACUUAUAUGAUUAACAAUGCGAAAGAUUCAGGAUACCUUCGGGACCCGUCUUGAAACACGGACCAAGGAGUCUAACAUAUUUGCAAGUUAUUGGGUAUCAAAACCUAAUAGCGAAAUUAACAUAACUUUAAUGGGAUUAGUUUUUAGAUUAUUUAUAUAGUCUAUUAAUUCAAUCCCGGGGCGUUCUAUAUAGUUAUGUAUAAUAAUAUUUAUAUUAUUUAUACCUCUAACUAGAGCGUACCUUGAGCAUAUAUGCUGUGACCCGAAAGAUGGUGAACUAUACUUGAUCAGGUUGAAGUCAGGGGAAACCCUGAUGGAAGACCGAAACAGUUCUGACGUGCA